GCUGUCUCUCAUAUAGGAAUUAUAUAUUCUA
rnacentral:piRNA from 1 species